rnacentral:rRNA from 1 species
UAAGAUGAGAGUUUGAUCCUGGCUCAGGACGAACGCUGGCGGCGUGCCUAAUACAUGCAAGUCGAACGAGUCCUCCCAAUUUGAUUUUAUGCUUGCAUAAAUGAUUUUUGGAUUCGGGACGAGUGGCGAACUGGUGAGUAACA